rnacentral:rRNA from 1 species
GACGAACGCUGGCGGCGUGCUUAACACAUGCAAGUCGAACGGAAAGGCCCCCUUGGGGGUCCUCGAGUGGCGAACGCGUGAGUAACACGCGAGUAACCUGCCCUUGACUUCGGGAUAACUUCCGGAAACUGGGGCUAAUACCGGAUAGGAAUCCUUGCUGCAUGGUGGGGGUUGGAAAGCUUCGGCGGUUUUGGAUGGACUCGCGGCUUAUCAGCUUGUUGGUGGGGUAGUGGCUUACCAAGGCUUUGACGGGUAGCCGGCCUGAGAGGGCGACCGGCCACAUUGGGACUGGGAUACGGACCAGACUCCUACGGGAGGCAGCAGUGGGGAAUAUUGCACGAUGGGCGGAAGCCUGAUGCAGCAACGCCGCGUGCGGGAUGACGGCCUUCGGGUUGUAAACCGCUUUCAGCAGGGGCGAAGCUUUUGUGACGGUACCUGCAGAAGAAGCACCGGCUAACUACGUG